UCGGGAAUUUUGGGCAAUGGGCGAAAGCCUGACCCAGCAACGCCGCGUGAGGGAUGAAGUAUUUCGGUAUGUAAACCUCGAAAGAAUGGGAAGAAUAAAUGACGGUACCAUUUAUAAGCUCCGGCUAACUAAGUGCCAGCAGCCGCGGUAAUACGUAGGGAGCAAGCGUUGUUCGGAUUUACUGGGCGUAAAGGGCGCGUAGGCGGCGCGGUAAGUCACUUGUGAAAUCUCUGAGCUUAACUCAGAACGGCCAAGUGAUACUGCUGUGCUAGAGUGCGGAAGAGGCAACCGGAAUUCUUGGUGUAGCGGUGAAAUGCGUAGAUAUGAAGAGGAACACCUGAGGCGAAUGCGGGCUGCUGGGCCGACACUGACGCUGAUGCGCGAAAGCCAGGGGAGCAAACG
rnacentral:rRNA from 1 species